rnacentral:rRNA from 1 species
GACGAACGCUGGCGGCGUGCUUAACACAUGCAAGUCGAACGAUGACGACCGAGCUUGCUCGGUCUGAUUAGUGGUGAACGGGUGAGUAACACGUGAGCAACCUGCCCUUCACUCUGGGAUAACCUCGGGAAAUCGGGGCUAAUACCGGAUAUGAGCUCCUGUCGCAUGGCGGGUGUUGGAAAGUUUUUCGGUGAAGGAUGGGCUCGCGGCCUAUCAGUUUGUUGGUGAGGUAGUGGCUCACCAAGGCGAUGACGGGUAGCCGGCCUGAGAGGGCGACCGGCCACACUGGGACUGAGACACGGCCCAGACUCCUACGGGAGGCAGCAGUGGGGAAUAUUGCACAAUGGGCGAAAGCCUGAUGCAGCGACGCCGCGUGAGGGAUGACGGCCUUCGGGUUGUAAACCUCUUUCAGCAGGGAAGAAGCGAAAGUGACGGUACCUGCAGAAGAAGCGCCGGCUAACUACGUG